GGAGCCGGCGGAAGCGGAAGCGUGAACAAAGGAUGCUGAUUUGCAAUCAGCCGGUCGUCGGUUCGAGUCCGACAGAUGGCUCCA
rnacentral:tRNA from 1 species